CCCUAAGAAGCUGCUGAGGACUGCAGCGCUAGCCUUUUAAGCUAGAGCCCGGUGACUUCCAACCACCCCUAGGGA
rnacentral:tRNA from 1 species